rnacentral:rRNA from 1 species
CCUACGGGAGGCAGCAGUGGGGAAUAUUGGACAAUGGGCGAAAGCCUGAUCCAGCAAUGCCGCGUGAGUGAUGAAGGCCUUCGGGUCGUAAAGCUCUUUUACCAGGGAUGAUAAUGACAGUACCUGGAGAAUAAGCUCCGGCUAACUCCGUGCCAGCAGCCGCGGUAAUACGGAGGGAGCUAGCGUUGUUCGGAAUUACUGGGCGUAAAGAGUACGUAGGCGGUUAUUCAAGUCAGAGGUGAAAGCCCGGGGCUCAACCCCGGAACUGCCUUUGAAACUAGAUAACUAGAGUCUUGGAGAGGUUAGUGGAAUUCCGAGUGUAGAGGUGAAAUUCGUAGAUAUUCGGAAGAACACCAGUGGCGAAGGCGACUAACUGGACAAGUACUGACGCUGAGGUACGAAAGCGUGGGGAGCAAACAGGAUUAGAUACCCUGGUAGUCCACGCCGUAAACGAUGAUAACUAGUUGUUCGGUCACUUGGUGACUGAGUGACGCAGCUAACGCAUUAAGUUAUCCGCCUGGGGAGUACGGUCGCAAGAUUAAAACUCAAAUNAUAGAGCGNGAGAGNGCGAGCGACGACGAGGAGAG